UGUAAGUAUUAACUCUGCCGGAGGUGGCUAAGGUCUCCUAAAUUUUCCCCAUUAUCUGUUAUUUCUUGUCUGGACCUGCAUGGUAAUGCCUAACCCGUCAUCACUUGUAGGCGCACUAGUAUAUGCUUGAUGCGCCGCCAAAACUGUGUGUGUGAUGCCUUGGAAAGGUUACUAUUCCCGUGGGAGCAAUAUUGGAGGCGCGUAGUCAUUCUCCAUAUUUACCCUAAACUAACUAAUUCCCAUGUAACUGAGCGUUGGCAGCCAUAUCUCAGAGACCCUAAGGCACAUGUUGAUGGGACUUUGUGAGAAUGUGCGUCCAUAGUCUGCACAGGCCUGGCCUAGAUAUCCUCGUCACAUCACUCAUGACGGCCAAGAAAAUGUCUGAAAGGGGAGCGUCGGCAAAGAUAAUGCACUGUUAGUUUACACGCACUCUGUGAUAUUGUUGAAACUGUAAAGCGCAGAACGAUGGGAUUGUACGAGUGUGUGCGUCUCCAGUGUGUGCAGGUCUGGCGUAAGUAUCGUUGUCGCAUCACUUGUGGCGGCAGAGAAAAUGAUAAAUAGUUUGGCGUCGGCAAGAUUAGUUUAGCGAAUGUGUCAGAAAAAUUCAACAUGUUUUGCGAUACCGUUGAAACUGUAGGGUGCAGGGCAGUGAGUUUUUGUGAGUGUGUGUGUCUGUUGUGUGCGCUGGUCUGGCAUGAGUAUCCUUGUUGUGUGGCUUGUGACAGCCAAGAAAAUGAAAAAAAAGUUGUCUCGGCAACAUAGUUUACUGCGAGUCUGAACGCAUGUUUUGAUAUUCUUGAAACUAUAGGCUGCAGGUCGAUGGGUCUUUAAUGUGUAGUGUGUAUGUACCCAGUGCAGGUGUGGUAUAAAUAUCCUUGUCGUGUGACUUAUGAUGGCCAAGAAAAUGAAAAAAAGGUGUUUCUCGGCAAGAUAGUUUACCGAGAAUCUCAACGCAUGUUGUGAUAUCCUUGAAACUAUAGGGUGCAGGUCAAUGGGACUUUAAUGUGUAGUGUGUUUGUACCCAGCGCAGGUGUGGCAUAAAUAUCCUUGUCGUGUAACUUAUGACGGCCGAGGAAAUUAAAAAAAGGUGUUUCUCGGCAAGAUAGUUUACCGAGAAUCUCAACGAAUUUUGUGAUAUUCUUGAAACUAUAGGGUGCAGGUCAAUGGGACUUUAAUGUGUAGUGUGUUUGUACCCAGCACAGGUGUGGCAUAAAUAUCCUUGUCAUGUAACUUAUGACGGCCGAGAAAAUUAAAAAAAGGUGUUUCUCGGCAAGAUAGUUUACCGAGAAUCUCAACGCAUGUUGUGAUAUUUUUGAAACUAUAGGGUGCAGGUCAAUGGGACUUUAAUGUGUUGUGUGUUUGUACCCAGCGCAGGUGUGGCAUAAAUAUCCUUGUCGUGUGACAUAUGACGGCCGAGAAAAUUAAAAAAAGGUGUUUCUCGGCAAGAUAGUUUACCGAGAAUCUCAACGCAUGUUGUGAUAUUCUUGAAACUAUAGGGCGCAGGUCAAUAGGACUUUAAAGUGUAGUGUGUCUGUAUCCAGCGCAGGUGUGCUGUAAAUAUCCUAGUCAUGUGACUCAUGAUGGCUGAGAAAAUGGAAAAAAAGUUGUGUCGGCAAGAUAAUUUUAGCAAACGCCUCCAAAACAUUUAACGUGUUUUGCGAUAUCAUUGAAACUAUAGGGUGUGGGGCGAUGGGAUUUUAUGGGCAGGUGCGUCCACAGUGUGUGCUAGUCUGGCAUGAAUAUACUUGUCGUGUUGCUUAUAAUGGCCGAGGAAAAUGGAAAAAAUAUAAAAAGUGAACAAAUUUGGUGUGUGAGAGAGAGAGAGAGAAAGAGAGCAAUGUAUAAUCUAUUGAGUGUACAGUAUUUUGCAUUAUAAUCAGACAGCUAAUCGGUGGUUUAUGACAAAGUUCUGAAACAAUUGGAAAUUGUUGUACAGCAGUCUGUUAGACAAAGCACAAAUUAGUCGGACAGCUUACAGUCCUUCCGACACUGCCGCAGAAGAGUAGCGUCAAUACCACAAAUGUCACAACAACAAACACCAUUAAUUUGACAAUUGGAGAAAAUGGAACUUCACAGCAAAACAUGAAUCUGAAGCAUGGAACUUAUGCCGCCCCCCUCACGCCCUACAUCCCCCUCCCCCAUGGCAAGUGUGCGUUGUAAAGUAUCCACCCUCGGAACAGUGUGUGCACGGCUCCUCUUGUGGAACAAUGCCUCGGCGGCGGCGCACACCAGCACGUCGGAGGAGGACAAGCGGAGGAUAAUUAUUGAAAAAUCCGAAGCGAAUGAAGACCUAAUCUGCAGUUAUGUCAAACUGUUUGGUGGGAAUGGCAGAGUUUACUGGUGCGGCGGUAAAGUUCGGGACUCUGUGAUAUUAAGCCGGUGGUGGUGGUGGUGGUGGCUGCGGGGGUCAUGUUUCUUGAUGGCCACUCCCUCUAGGCAUGAAAAAUGAGAAAAAAUCAUCACUCACGCAAACCAUUUCAUAAUGUAUAUAUAUCAACGCAUUUGUGACCAGUUUAUGCAUCAUCUAUUUUGGGGGGUUUAUAUAUCAGGGCAAAAAUUUGGCCCGUCGCUGGUAUCGGGUUACUGGUGACCACUGGUUUGCCAUUCCUCAGACCUGUCUGUCUAUAUAAUGCAAAAUGCUGUAAUUCAUGUGUUGCUUCCUUAGUAAUGAUAAAUGGGAUAUUACUUAAAAAACUUUCUUCAUAUGAUUCUCUCUCUCUCUCUCUCUCUCUGCUACUACUUCUGCUAUUAAUAUAUUUUUUUAUUCAACAGAUUCAAAAAGAAGAACAACAUCAAGCACAACAUGUUAUAACCACCACCACCACCACCACCACCACCACUCAGCCCACCGUCAUAGAGAGUGGGCGGCCUCACCCUUUCCUGCCCUCGUAUUUCCUGGACAAUGUGGAGGAUGGCGGGGGCAGCAGUGAGGCGGUGGCCGGCGGAGGAGGAGAGAGACAGGCGGAGAAGAAUGUCAAGGUCCAUUUCAAUUCUUCCUUCAACGUUGUCAAGUACGGGGACGGCACUGACAUCAAGGACUUGUCAAGCCAGUCAGUGAACCCAGUCUGCAAGACGUCUUGGUCAAGAUGGGACACAACCUAACACGGAAACCCUUCAAGCUGGAGAACCACUACUGGGUUGGUCACAGCUAAAGGAGAGAGAGAGAGAGAGGGAGAGAGUACCUUCCAGCCUACUAUUCCUGCAGUAAGCAGUGCCUGGUGUUACCUGAAUUUCCUGUUGUCCCUCUGCCUCCACCUCCUCCUCCUCCUCUCUCCCUCCAGCUGCCAACCCUCACUCACUCACUCCGCCAGUUGAGUCUUCUGUACCCCCACUGUUGUUGUUUUCCCGGCCUGAGAAUACCCCGCCAGGACUCCUUGUAAUCACCGUCAUGGUUUGCAGGCGGGUGUGUGGUGACCCAGGGCGUUGAGGGAAGCCAGACGCUCUCCUGUAGGGCUUCAGGCAGAUACAACUCCCUCAUCACCUGCUUCACUCCAGCCCAGACCUUGCCACUCACACCCAACAGCUGCUUCAUCUUAAGGUGGGACUGGUUAGGUUACGAUAUGUUUAGGGUAUCUUAAAACACAGGAUAGGCGGGAACUUAGGGUAUGAAUCCAUAAAGAAUGACCUCACUUUGUUGUAUAGAAAGUCUCAUUAGUAAGGAAGCAUAUAUGAGUUUUCUGAGUCAAGACCUGUAGUAACUGUUUGGGGUUUUGUUAGGCUAUGUUGGGUUAAGUUUAGGGUAUCUUCAGACACAUGAUAGCCAGCACCUUAUGGUAUAAAUCAACAAAGAAUGACCUCACUUUGUUGUAGAGAAAGUCUCAUUAGCAAGGAAGCAUAUAUGAAUUUUCUGAGUGAAGGUCUAUAGUGUUUGGUUUUGUUUUGUUCGGUUAUGUUAGGUUAAGUUUAGGGUAUCUUCAAACACAGGAUAGCCAGCCCCUUAUAGUAUAAUUCAAUGAAGAAUGACCUCAUUUCGUUGUAUAGAAAGUCUCAUUAGUAAGGAAGCUUAUAUGAAUUCUCUGAGUCAAGAACUGUAGUAACUGUUUGGGGUUUUGUUAGGUUAAGUUAAGGGUAUAUCUUCAAACACAUGACAGCCAGCACCUUAUGGUAUAAAUUAACAAAGAAUGACCUC